GGGGCGGUAGCUCAGCUGGGAGAGCACCUGGUUUGCAACCAGGGGGUCGGGGGUUCGAAUCCCUUCCGCUCCA
rnacentral:tRNA from 1 species